GAUGAAGAACGUAGCGAAAUGCGAUACGUAAUGUGAAUUGCAGAAUUCAGUGAAUCAUCGAAUCUUUGAACGCAUAUUGCGCUCUUUGGUAUUCCGAAGAGCAUGCUUGUUUGAGUAUCAGUAAACACCUCAAAAGAUUUUCAUUUUUGAAAUGAUUUUGGACUUGAGCAAUCCCAACACCAGUCUUCACGUAUCGGCGGAGGGUUGCUUGAAAUGCAGGUGCAGCUGGACAUUCUCCUGAGCUAAAAGCAUAUCUAUUUAGUCCCGUCAAACGGAUUAUUACUUUUGCUGCAGCUAACAUAAAGGGAGUUUGACCAUUUUGGCUGACUGAUGCAGGAUUUCACAAGGGUCGGUAAAACGAUUUUUGUAAAACUCGAUCUCAAAUCAAGUAAGACUACCCGCUGAACUUAAGCAUAUCAAUAAGCGGAGGA
rnacentral:misc_RNA from 1 species